rnacentral:tRNA from 1 species
GCCGGAGUGGUGGAAUUGGUAGACACAAGGGACUUAAAAUCCCUCGGAAUUUUAUUCCGUGCCGGUUCAAGUCCGGCCUCUGGUACCA